GCAAGACUUGCAAUAAAAUUGUAAGUUGGCAACACAGAACAUGUAGAUCUUCAAAAUACUUUACAAACUAGAAAAUCCUCACACCUGUGUGUGUUAGCAAAUAAGUCAUUAUCUUGCUUUGCAGAUGGGGAAACUGAGGCACUAAGCCAUUAAGUGACUUGGCCAGUGUCAUACUUCAAGUCAGUGGCAGAACCAAGAUCAGAAUUCAGGAGUUGCUGGCUGUAACCCAGUGCCAUACUCUAACCACUAGGCUGUAUGGCCUCUCUAGUCUCAAAUAAAAGAAGAACUCAGUGAGGCAGAGAGAUACAAGAAAGUUGUCUUCCAGCUAACUUGUGUCAGGAACUGCAGGGGAGAAAACUUUUGCCCUAACAAAGAUGAAGGUAUCACAAGAAGGGAGAGAGGGGAGACUGGCAACAGACAAGCUGAGGGAAGCAGGAAAGAGACAGGAUGCAUGCUGUAAAAAACAUUUUAAACUGUGGAAGGAUGGUGAAGUGGGGAGAAUGUUCAUCUGGGACAUGGGAGAGCUAGCUUGAAUUCCCUGCUUUGUGAUUGAUUUCCUAUGGGACUGUGGGCAAGUCACUUAGACCUGAUCACUGCAUGCUGAUUUUACUGGUAUAACUAUUUUGGUUACUGAAAUAAUUUUAUGUGAAAAACCCUGAGUGUGUGUGUGCAAUUAUAUUGAUAUAACACAUCUUUUUAGUGCUAUAAUUAUGUGAACACAUGCAGGGGUUGUACUGCUUCAACUUUACCAGUUAGUACAACUUUUUUGAGUAGAUAGGGCCUUAUUCUCUCUGGCCCAGAUCCCCAAAGGUAUUUAGGCACCUAACUCCCAUUGGUUUCAGGGGAGUUAGGUGCCUAAAUACUUUUGAGGCUCGGACCCUCUGUGCCUCAGUUCCCCAUCUGUAAAAUGGGAUCAGUACAUUAAAGACUGAGAGGUGCUCAGAGAGGCAGAAAGGUCUAGAUAGAUGCCUAAAUACCUUUGAGGAUGUGGGCUGUUGCUCCUGAAAUGAAUGGGACAGGAGACACUGGAGUAGCUUGUGGAUGGCAUUAAAACACAUAUUGGUUACAUGAUUGCAGGGAGACUGUGUUGCGUUGAUUGUUCUUUUACAUCUAUCGGCAUGGUGCCUGUUAUGCUUUUAGAUUGUGUCUCAGUCUCAUGCUGAGUCCUGUGGUUUGAUUAAAGAUCAUUAAGCAGCAGUGGGAUGAAACAUCACUGGAUGUCAGGUUUCAGAGUGGUAGCCGUGUUAGGGGGAGGAGCUUUUGGUUUGCACGGGGUACUUAAUACACAGGACAGUGAGACACAAAUUCUAAGUCACAGCACCUUUAAAGGGAGAAUGGGUUAGAAGGUGUUUCCAUGGGAUUCAAAGACACACUGUAGCUGGUGUCAAAGCCCCUCAGCUCCAUGUUGUGCUUCUUAUGUUCCCACAAAGCAAGAGAAGAGAAGAAGAAAGCUUGCUGUAGUCACUUCAUAUUGCUGAGUCAUUAACUUCUUUUUGCUGAGUCAUUCUGCAGCUGUGUCUGACAAACCAGGAGAAGACAAGCAGGACAGCUCAAGUCCCACCCAGUGAUCUCUGUCAGGAUGGGAUAUUGUGCUAGGUCACUGUGCAGCUGUUUUUGUCUGCAUUUGAACCUUGUUCUGCAAGUGUUUGCUACCUCAGACACUGCAAGGAGGCGCAUGAAAGCCAGAAAGUGAAAGUGAUUUAUCAUCUUCCAUUGUUGUAUGCAGUGUUGUUAUAACCAUGUUGGUCCAUGGCUAUUAGAGAGAGCACUUUCAGGCCACACAGAGCUCUUCUGAAGCAGCUCAAAAGCUUGUCUCUCUCACCAGUAGAAGUGAGUCCAAUAAAAGAUAUCAUCUCACACACCAGGUCUCUCUAAAGUGAGUUAGUUUUACUGUCCAAGCUGAGUGAAAUACAAGAAAGCAGGGCCUAGAAAAAUUGUGAAAUGAGUCAUUUAAAAAAAAACCUUUUGAUUUUCAUAAUCUUAGGUGUUACAUGUUACACAGGCAGGAAAUUGGGUUUUAAGUAAGAUUUAUUAUUUGAUAGCAUGCUAUGUUAAUGGCUUUUUGCACUGGGGAAAUGAGGUGGAGUCCCCUGUGUAACUAAUAAUAUUAACACAUCUAUAGUGCAUUUGUUUUUUAAAGCUAUAGUAUUGAGAUUCAGGAUCUGGUUUUCAAAAGGAGCUCAGCACACUGGAUGCUGAAUUCUUUUGAAAAUCUGGCCUCAAGCAUGAUUGCUGAACUCUCCAAAAUCUGAUCCUUUGGGGUUGUCUUUCAGAGGGGCUGUGCCUCCAGAACUCAAGAUGAAGUCAAUAGCUGCAGGUGCUCAGGGCCUCUGGCAAUCAGGCUCAAAUUUAUAAAGCAUCACAAAACCCCUCCUCUGAAGGUAAAAAGUAGCCCUGUUUUCAGGUAGGAAAAAGGGAGGCAGAGACCUCAUAUGUUUUGCCCAAGACCAGUCUAGUUGCAUUAUUCUGUGCUGCAGGUGGACUUGAAGAAUGCAUCACAAAUUAUUUUUUUUCCUCCUCCUGUAUUUUUCUUGCAGCUGGUUUACAUACAUAUGGUUGCAUGGUAAUGUUUGAAAUAAACACAACAUAAUUGCUA